UACAGAGGGGGCAAGCGUUGUUCGGAAUUACUGGGCGUAAAGGGCGCGUAGGCGGCCUUCUAAGUCGAACGUGAAAUCCCCGGGCUCAACCCGGGAACUGCGUCCGAUACUGGGAGGCUUGAAUCCGGGAGAGGGAUGCGGAAUUCCAGGUGUAGCGGUGAAAUGCGUAGAUAUCUGGAGGAACACCGAUGGCGAAAGCAGGUACCUGGACCAUUACUGACGCUCAGCUGCGAAAGCUAGGGGAGCAAACAGG
rnacentral:rRNA from 1 species